CUACGCUGCGAUAAGCCGUGGGGAGCUGCGAAGAAGCUUUGAUCCGCGGAUUUCCGAAUGGGGAAACCCACCUUCGAUAGCCGGAACUCCAAGACCUUUGUCGAAAGACAGCGGUGUGGGGUUCGAUCAGAUAAUGUGAGAAGCCAGGCCUUUAGAUUUCGAUCGAAGAGGUUUUGGAUUUCCGGUUAUCAAGAGAAGGUAUGAGACUUCUGAAUACAUAGGAGGUUUCAAGCAAACCCAGGGAACUGAAACAUCUAAGUACCUGGAGGAAAGGACAUCAACAGAGACUCCGUUAGUAGUGGCGAGCGAACGCGGACCAGGCCAGUGAUACAUCAAAGACAAUCGGAACCAGUCAGGAAAGCUGGGCCUCAGAGGGUGAUAGCCCCGUACGAGUAAUGCGAUGAUGUAUCCACGAGUAAGGCGGGACACGUGAAAUCCUGUCUGAACGCGGGGGGACCACCCUCCAAGCCUAAGUACUCCUCAGCGACCGAUAGU
rnacentral:rRNA from 3 species